GACGAACGCUGGCGGCGUGCUUAACACAUGCAAGUCGAACGAAGUGGCGAACGGGUGAGUAACGCGUAAUCAACCUGCCCUUCAGAGGGGGACAACAGGUGGAAACGACUGCUAAUACCGCAUACUGAUGGGGGGGUUGGCGUCUGAUUAGCUAGUUGGGGGGGUAACGGCCCACCAGGCCGAUGAUCAGUAGCUGGUCUGAGAGGAUGAACGGCCACAUUGGGACUGAGACACGGCCCAGACUCCUACGGGAGGCAGCAGUGGGGAAUCUUCCGCAAUGGACGAAAGGCUGACGGAGCAACGCCGCGUGAGUGAUGACGGCCUUAGGGUUGUAAAGCUCUGUUAAUCGGGACGCGGUACCGAAAUAGAAAGCCACGGCUAACUACGUGCCAGCAGCCGCGGUAAUAC
rnacentral:rRNA from 1 species